rnacentral:rRNA from 1 species
GACGAACGCUGGCGGCGUGCCUAAUACAUGCAAGUCGAACGCUUUUUCUUUCACCGGAGCUUGCUCCACCGAAAGAAAAAGAGUGGCGAACGGGUGAGUAACACGUGGGUAACCUGCCCAUCAGAAGGGGAUAACACUUGGAAACAGGUGCUAAUACCGUAUAACACUAUUUUCCGCAUGGAAGAAAGUUGAAAGGCGCUUUUGCGUCACUGAUGGAUGGACCCGCGGUGCAUUAGCUAGUUGGUGAGGUAACGGCUCACCAAGGCAACGAUGCAUAGCCGACCUGAGAGGGUGAUCGGCCACACUGGGACUGAGACACGGCCCAGACUCCUACGGGAGGCAGCAGUAGGGAAUCUUCGGCAAUGGACGAAAGUCUGACCGAGCAACGCCGCGUGAGUGAAGAAGGUUUUCGGAUCGUAAAACUCUGUUGUUAGAGAAGAACAAGGAUGAGAGUAGAACGUUCAUCCCUUGACGGUAUCUAACCAGAAAGCCACGGCUAACUACGUGCCAGCAGCCGCAGUAA